ACUUCUUAGGAAAAUAGAUAAUCUUCCUUGUGUGCAAGACACACAAUGUCAGAUUCCUAAUUUUCUACAGAAGU
rnacentral:ncRNA from 1 species